UGGGGAAUUUUGGACAAUGGGCGAAAGCCUGAUCCAGCAAUGCCGCGUGUGUGAAGAAGGCCUUCGGGUUGUAAAGCACUUUUGUCCGGGAAAGAAAUCCUUGGCUCUAAUACAGUCGGGGGAUGACGGUACCGGAAGAAUAAGCACCGGCUAACUACGUGCCAGCAGCCGCGGUAAUACGUAGGGUGCAAGCGUUAAUCGGAAUUACUGGGCGUAAAGCGUGCGCAGGCGGUUUGCUAAGACCGAUGUGAAAUCCCCGGGCUCAACCUGGGAACUGCAUUGGUGACUGGCAGGCUAGAGUAUGGCAGAGGGGGGUAGAAUUCCACGUGUAGCAGUGAAAUGCGUAGAGAUGUGGAGGAAUACCGAUGGCGAAGGCAGCCCCCUGGGCCAAUACUGACGCUCAUGCACGAAAGCGUGGGGAGCAAACAGGAUUAGAUACCCUGGUAGUCCACGCCCUAAACGAUGUCAACUAGUUGUUGGGGAUUCAUUUCCUAGUAACGUAGCUAACGCGUGAAGUUGACCGCCUGGGGAGUACGGUCGCAAGAUU
rnacentral:rRNA from 1 species